GCGGGUAUGGUGGAAUUGGCAGACACGCUGGAUUUAGGUUCCAGUGCGCAAGCGUACAGGUUCAAAUCCUGCUACCCGCACCA
rnacentral:tRNA from 1 species